rnacentral:rRNA from 1 species
GACGAACGCUGGCGGCGUGCUUAACACAUGCAAGUCGAACGGUAAGGCCCUUCGGGGUACACGAGUGGCGAACGGGUGAGUAACACGUGGGUGAUCUGCCCUGCACUUCGGGAUAAGCCUGGGAAACUGGGUCUAAUACCGGAUAGGACCACUGCCUGCAUGGGUGGUGGUGGAAAGCUUUUGCGGUGCGGGAUGGGCCCGCGGCCUAUCAGCUUGUUGGUGGGGUGAUGGCCUACCAAGGCGACGACGGGUAGCCGGCCUGAGAGGGUGACCGGCCACACUGGGACUGAGAUACGGCCCAGACUCCUACGGGAGGCAGCAGGGGGGAAUAUUGCACAAGGGGCGCAAGCCUGAUGCAGCGACGCCGCGUGAGGGAUGACGGCCUUCGGGUUGUAAACCUCUUUCAGCACCGACGAAGCGCAAGUGACGGUAGGUGCAGAAGAAGGACCGGCCAACUACGUGCCAGCCGCCGCCGUAA